rnacentral:rRNA from 1 species
AUGGUGAAGGCAGUCAGGAAAAUGAAGGUAAGCGCAAAAGAAAAAAGUCGAAAUAUUGUCAAUCCCCCUACGACAUUCUCAUUACCUGCAAGAAACGUGUUAAAAAAAAUCAUCAAUGCAUAUUGUAAACACCUACAACACCGUGAUUUUUCUGAUCGUUACAUAUCAACAACGUGGUUCCCCAAAUUUAUGUUGAAUGGGGCAAGGGAAAAGACCAAGUCAGUAAAUGAUUUAGACUCGGAGAAUGUUACAAAGAAAACAAAAGUCCUCGCAAGAGUAAUGGAUGAGUAUUUCAGACGGGACAAGGCGUAUUUUCCUAUGCACGUUAAUGAUAAUCAUUGGAUAACCAUAGUGAUGCACACCGUCAAGGAGGAGUUUCAAGUUCUUGACUCAAAUUCUAAAGGCGCAAUUAGCCAAAGAAUUCGCAAUAUGAUUGCCACCCUGGCCAAAUCAACUCUUGAAGCAAAAAAAAUUCCAGAUGUCUCAUCGUGGCCAAUAAAUGAGUAUAAAAUGCCGAGACAAAAAGAUGGAGUGUCUUGUGGACUUUUUGUGAUGUGGUGCAUAAAAUACUGGGACGAAGAUCGCUGGACACAUGAAUUUGACCAGGAAGAGAUUAAUGCGUCAAGGCCACGUAUUGUCGCGGAAAUUAUUUUUUCAGAGGUGAACAAAUUAGAGAAGGUCAAGAUGAAAAUUGUUAAAAUCAUGGAGAAGGAAUAG